rnacentral:tRNA from 1 species
AACUUUAUAGUCAAAAAAUGAUAUUAGACUGCAAUUCUAAAGGUAUACGAAUAUAUUAAGGUUU